rnacentral:rRNA from 1 species
AGAGUUUGAUCCUGGCUCAGGAUGAACGCUAGCUACAGGCUUAACACAUGCAAGUCGAGGGGCAUCAGGAAGAAAGCUUGCUUUCUUUGCUGGCGACCGGCGCACGGGUGAGUAACACGUAUCCAACCUGCCCUUUACUCGGGGAUAGCCUUUCGAAAGAAAGAUUAAUACCCGAUAGCAUAAUGAUUCCGCAUGGUUUCAUUAUUAAAGGAUUCCGGUAAAGGAUGGGGAUGCGUUCCAUUAGGUUGUUGGUGGGGUAACGGCCCACCAAGCCUUCGAUGGAUAGGGGUUCUGAGAGGAAGGUCCCCCACAUUGGAACUGAGACACGGUCCAAACUCCUACGGGAGGCAGCAGUGAGGAAUAUUGGUCAAUGGGCGCUAGCCUGAACCAGCCAAGUAGCGUGAAGGAUGAAGGCUCUAUGGGUCGUAAACUUCUUUUAUAUAAGAAUAAAGUGCAGUAUGUAUACUGUUUUGUAUGUAUUAUAUGAAUAAGGAUCGGCUAACUCCGUGCCAGCAGCCGCGGUAAUACGGAGGAUCCGAGCGUUAUCCGGAUUUAUUGGGUUUAAAGGGAGCGUAGGUGGACUGGUAAGUCAGUUGUGAAAGUUUGCGGCUCAACCGUAAAAUUGCAGUUGAUACUGUCAGUCUUGAGUACAGUAGAGGUGGGCGGAAUUCGUGGGGUAGCGGUGAAAUGCUUAGAUAUCACGAAGAACUCCGAUUGCGAAGGCAGCUCACUGGACUGCAACUGACACUGAUGCUCGAAAGUGUGGGUAUCAAACAGGAUUAGAUACCCUGGUAGUCCACACAGUAAACGAUGAAUACUCGCUGUUUGCGAUAUACAGUAAGCGGCCAAGCGAAAGCAUUAAGUAUUCCACCUGGGGAGUACGCCGGCAACGGUGAAACUCAAAGGAAUUGACGGGGGCCCGCACAAGCGGAGGAACAUGUGGUUUAAUUCGAUGAUACGCGAGGAACCUUACCCGGGCUUAAAUUGCAGUGGAAUGAUGUGGAAACAUGUCAGUGAGCAAUCACCGCUGUGAAGGUGCUGCAUGGUUGUCGUCAGCUCGUGCCGUGAGGUGUCGGCUUAAGUGCCAUAACGAGCGCAACCCUUAUCUUCAGUUACUAACAGGUCAUGCUGAGGACUCUGGAGAGACUGCCGUCGUAAGAUGUGAGGAAGGUGGGGAUGACGUCAAAUCAGCA